rnacentral:ncRNA from 1 species
UACUGUGCUUUGACAAGGAGUAGUAGUAUUUUUAUCUAUCGAAGAGAGCUGUUGGUUGGUGUAAAACAGCACUGAUAAAGUAUGAACUCGCCUUUGAGCUUAUCUGAAGAAAAUCAGAUACGGUUAAAACCGUUAUAUUUUUGAGUGAAAGCAAGUAUAAAAUUAUAUUUGUUUUAAUAAGAGUGGUACCGCGGAAUUCAGGCUUUUCGUCUCUUGC